rnacentral:lncRNA from 1 species
GAAAGAAUUUGCUUCAAAUCACAUAGUGAAGUCCUCCCCGAAGAGGAGCUGUUUGAGCUGGUUCUUCAAUAAUAAGACUAACCUAUGAAAAAGCAAGGGCUAUGGAUCAAGUAUUCUUUGAAGUGCCCUGUUCACUUCAUGGUUCUGUAGAGAAUUAGAAAACUUCCAGGAGUUUCCAAGAAUGCUGAUAUCCAGUUCACCACUUUACCCACUGGUGAGGAGAAGAAAGUCAAAGGAAACCAUAUGUCUUAGACCUUAGUCUCCACUGGUGACCUCUGUCUACCUUGACCCUUUCUCUAUCAGGUUGGAAGAAGCCUUGGAGGGCACACAGAAGCACUUCCUCCUUUUACAAACAAGAAAAGGGACAGAGUGACAACUUUAAAAAAAUCUACAUCUGAAGUUAGUUCUAUAGUUUCCUAUCUCCAGAAGAGGCAGAAAUGAACUCCACCAUGCCUAAA